GACGAACACUGGCUCGCCUGCCUAAUGCAUUGCCCGUCAAGCCAAGUUUUUCUGACGCUUGGUCUACAAAAACUUACCGACGAACCGAAGAGAAACACGUCUAGAAACAGCCUCAUGCACGGGGACGACUUAUUGCACACUAUACCUAAUACCGGAUAACAGGAUAAAUCGCAUGAUAUAUGUUUAAAAAUUGGUUUCGGCUAACCCUAUGAUACGGCUUUGCGGAGCAUUAGCUACUUGGUGGGGUAAGGCCUACCGAGGCGACCAUGCAUAACCGACCUGACACGGUGAUCGGCCUCACUGGGACUGACACACGGCCCACACUCCUACAGGAGGCACCAGUAGGGAAUCUUCCCCAAAGGGAGAAAGCCUGAUCGAGCAACGCCACAUGAAUGAAGAAAGAUUUCGGUGCUCAUCGCUCUGCUGUUAAGGAAGAAUGAUUGUAUAGCAACUGUAUACAGCACAGACGGUUCCUAAUCAUAAAGCCACGGCUAACUACCUGCCAACAGCCGAGGUAAUACGUAGGUGGCAAGCGUUGUCCGCAAUUAUUGGGGCGUAAAGCGGGCGCAGGUGGUUUAAUAAGUCUGAUGUGAGAGCCCCCGGCUCAACCGUGGAGGUUCAUGGUAAACUGUCAAACCAGAGUGCAGGAGAGAAAAGUGGAAUUCUUAGUGUAGCGGUGAAAUGUGUUGAGAUUAGGAGGAACACCAGUGGCGAAGGCGCCUGUUUGUCCUGUAUCUGACAUUGAGGCGCGAAAGCGUGGGGAGCAAACAGGAUUAGAUACCAUGGUAGUCCACGCCGUAAACGAUGAGUGCUAAGUGUUGGUCUCAUAAGAGAUCAGUGCUGCAGCUAACGCUUUAAGCACUCCGCCUGGGGAGUACGACGGCAAGGUUGAAACUCAAAGGAAUUGACGGGGACCCGCACCAGCGGUGGAGCAUGUGUUUUACUUUGAAGCAACGCGAAGAACCUUACCAAGUCUUGACAUACCGUGAGGACACAAGAGAUUAUGUUGUUGUGACCUUUGGUUGCACACAGAUACAGGUGGUGCAUGGUCGUCGUCAGCUAGUGUCGUGAGAUGUUGGGUUAAGUCCCGCAACGAGCGCAACCCCUAUGUCUAGUGGCCAGCAGUAAGAUGGGGACUCUAGACUGACUGCCAGUGAUAAACUGGAGGAAGGCGGGGAUGACGUCAAAUCAUCACGCCCCUUACGACUUGAGCUACACACGUGCUACAAUGGAUAGGAACAAAGAGAAGCUAACUCGCGAGAGCAAGCUCACCUCGUAAAACUAUUCUCGGAUCGGAUUGUACUCCGCACCUCCACGACAUGAAACUGGAAUCUCUAGUAAUCGCGAAUCAGAAUGAGGCGGUGAACCCGUUUCCGGCUUG
rnacentral:rRNA from 1 species